AUACGGAGGGUGCAAGCGUUAUCCGGAUUUAUUGGGUUUAAAGGGUCCGUAGGCGGAUCCGUAAGUCAGUGGUGAAAUCUCGCAGCUUAACUGUGAAACUGCCAUUGAUACUGCAUGUCUUGAGUAAAUUUGAAGUGGCUGGAAUAAGUAGUGUAGCGGUGAAAUGCAUAGAUAUUACUUAGAACACCAAUUGCGAAGGCAGGUCACUAAGAUUUAACUGACGCUGAUGGACGAAAGCGUGGGUAGCGAACAGGAUUAGAUACCCUGGUAGUCCACGCCGUAAACGAUGCUAACUCGUUUUUGGGCUUUAGGGUUCAGAGACUAAGCGAAAGUGAUAAGUUAGCCACCUGGGGAGUACGUUCGCAAGAAUGAA
rnacentral:rRNA from 1 species